GCCCCGAUCGUCUAGCCCGGUCAAGGAUAUCACCCUCUCACGGUGGGGACGCGGGUUCGAAUCCCGCUCGGGGCA
rnacentral:tRNA from 1 species